UGGGAAGCAUCGUUAUGUCCAUGGCAGUGUGUCUGCAUCUGGUCGAAGAAUGUCGACUAGCCAUAUGACAUGCAGGACAUAUAUAUUUGGUGGCGAUAAAGGGACUGAGAGAGGAAGAUGGGUUUGUCAGAUGCAGAGAUAUGGAGAUUACAGUCAGAUUGAAAGGAAUGUUGUGUUCCAAAUCUGAGUAAAUGUUGAUAUCAGUGAUCAAAGUCAAUGACCAACACUAAUUUGUUAAGUUUUAGAAAGAUGAAGUUGAUGACUAUAAAGAAAAUGGAGAAGUUCAAUUGAAAACAUUAAGAAGUGGAAAUGCAUAUUAUGUGGAUCAGAAAACAUAAAUAAGGACGCAUAUGGAUCAACAAAGAAAGUAGGGCAAAAAUCUGGAGAAAUAUCUACAGCAACUUGGAAACAAUAAAAGCAGCAGUAUUAAUGGGUAUGUGGUACAUGGACUUGACUAGGCCAAUGAAACCAGUGUCAAAAGCAGAUAAAAGGAGAAGAGUCAGAAAGCUGAGAAAAUAAAACGAUUGGUGGAAUUGAAAGAAAAUCAGUCUGUCAUGAAGUUAAAAAGUACUUAUAUGCUCAGGCAAUGAAGCCAAGAUUUCGCAGUGCAAUGAAAUUGCUGGGAGGAAGAACAAAUCCACCAUACAGAUGACAAGGGCACUUAUGAUGGAUUCAGACUUCAGA